GCCCCCAUCGUCUAGAGGACCAGGACGUGGCCCUUUCAAGGCCAAGACUGGAGUUCGAAUCUCCAUGGGGGCACCA
rnacentral:tRNA from 1 species